rnacentral:rRNA from 1 species
UACAGAGGGUGCGAGCGUUGUUCGGAAUUACUGGGCGUAAAGCGUGCGCAGGCGGCUAUGCAAGACAGAUGUGAAAUCCCCGGGCUCAACCUGGGAACUGCAUUUGUGGCUGCAUGGCUAGAGUACGGUAGAGGGGGAUGGAAUUCCGCGUGUAGCAGUGAAAUGCGUAGAUAUGCGGAGGAACACCGAUGGCGAAGGCAAUCCCCUGGACCUGUACUGACGCUCAUGCACGAAAGCGUGGGGAGCAAACAGG